AUACACCUUAAUCACAGAACAUCAUUUAAUGGAAACGGGCUCAUUCUGAGAUAUAGUUUUUUAUUGAUAUCUAGAAAACAUCGCUUAAAUUUUGCACAAAUCUUCUAUAAUGGAAACCUGGCUGCUGUCUGACGGAUUCAGCUGCUCCGGCGGAGAUGGAUUCCACCUUCAAGGAACAGUCCAGGAAAAAGAGCAUAUCAAUCCAUUUUUGGGGAGGCACCACAAGCCACUGUUCUGUAAAAGAACACAAGCAUCUGGGGGCAAUGUUGGUCUGAAUUUGUGAGUUAAGGGACAAUCCCCCUGGAGCAACAUGGAGUAAAGUGUCUUGCUCAAGGAAACACUGGUGGUGGCUGCUGGGAUCAAACCAGCAACCUUUGAUUUAUCACUUCAGUGGUUUAACCCACUAGACCACCAUCUCCACAUCAUAUAGAUAGUGCAGAUCCAGUGGUUGUCUUGUUAGCUAGAAACAGAGAUUUGAAUUGAUCAUAUCAACUGUGAGGCAAUGCUGAUUGGUGAAGAUGUGCGGCCUCUUCAGCUCAUUAUAGAGCAGUCUUGCUGCCUCAUUUAGGAGCAUUUGCAGAGGUUGGACAGUACAUUCUGGAAGGCUGGUCAGGAGAUCAUUGCAGUUCUCCAGUUUCGAAAGAACAUGGACAAGGAGUUGUGCAGCAUGCCCCAAUAGGAAGUGUCUAAUUUUAACUACUGUCGGAUUAUUUGGAUGAAAAGAGAAAUAGGAGAAGUAAAAGGAGAAGCCGUGCUUCUGAAUAACAGAUUUUAGGGAUUAAGUGUAAAUGGAAAAGAGCAGUGGUCUAGGCACUGAGCCGUGGGGUACUCCUGUAGUGAGAUGUAGAGACUUUGAGACCUUACCUAUUCAAGAUAUCCUGAAGGACCUACCUGAGAGGUAUCAGAUCUAAAAGAUCUGAACCACUGGAGUGCAGUUCCAGACACACCCAUUGACCCAAGGGUUGACAGGAGCAUGUGGUGGACGUUUUUUCCAGUCUCAUGAAGACUCAUUUUUUCCAGCUAUUCAUGUUGUGAAUAGCUGAGAGAAGGGUGAUAUCAGUUGAAUAGCCACUUUUGAAGCCAGACUGGAUGUUAUCCAGAUGGUUGUUCU